GAUGAACGCUGGCGGUAUGCUUAACACAUGCAAGUCGAACGGACUCUUCGGAGUUAGUGGCGGACGGGUGAGUAACGCGUGAGAAUCUGGCUUUGGGUUCGGGACAACCACUGGAAACGGUGGCUAAUACCGGAUGUGCCGAGAGGUAAAAGAGAAAUUGCCUGAAGAUGAGCUCGCGCCUGAUUAGCUAGUUGGUGAGGUAAAGGCUCACCAAGGCAGCGAUCAGUAGCUGGUCUGAGAGGAUGACCAGCCACACUGGGACUGAGACACGGCCCAGACUCCUACGGGAGGCAGCAGUGGGGAAUUUUCCGCAAUGGGCGAAAGCCUGACGGAGCAAUACCGCGUGAGGGAAGAAGGCUCUUGGGUUGUAAACCUCUUUUCUUAGGGAAGAACAAAAUGACGGUACCUAAGGAAUCAGCAUCGGCUAACUCCGU
rnacentral:rRNA from 1 species